UGCAAACUCCUUUUUUAAAUUACUCUACAUAUAUUAAUUUAUUUCGCAGUUUUUUCGCGCUCAAAAAAUGACGACUCUUUUUACUUGCUGCCGAAGACAAAGGUCAAAAUUUUUAAAUCGAUCCACACGGACUCUCUCUCUGAUCGACCGUCGAACCGAACGCAUCACGGACAAUUCCAAAGUGUAAAGCAAUUAAAAAGUGCCGGUACGUGUCAAACCCGCGGGUGCAGAGAACCAGCAACCCCCUUCAAGGGAUCAAGUUCUUCCGCAUGGUUCGGCGCCAGAAACAGAGCCGAUUCCGCAAGUUCGCGAGUGCAAUAAACGGGACCCCGUCCGGAACCGACGACACGAUAGCCUGCGCAUUCUAACGCCGAGUCACGGAAGAUGUAUAUAAAAGGAACAAGUUCUUGGAGGAACAUUUCAAUCAAAGACACGAAGACGACGACACGCACUAUAUGAUGUCCACCCUAGUUCAAUACGUACCAGUUUUGUGGAAAAACUGUGGAAGACACGACGUAAUGAAACAAAGUGGUAUCAAAAAUCAGAUAGCAUCCUACAUCUGUGAAGUGUGCAGAAAAACCAGCCCAUGGAAGAGAAUUGAAAAAAUUGCAAAGAAGUCCCAAAAAAAGAACACGAUUUUUUAAAAUUGUAUCCAAGAGAUUAUUUUUACGAUUUAGAGGAUUUUUGAACUUGUAUCAACAAACAUAUUGUUUAAUAACGGAAAUAAAAAUUUUUAGAGAUUAUUUUGUUUUUCUAUUCAAACUUAUCAAUAUUAAUAUUUACGUAAUCUUUCUGACUCGUCAUACAUUUAUCUAAAUAUUAUUUAUUUCUAUUCAAAUUUAUCAAUAAUUAAUAUUUACGUAACCUUUGUGACACGUAAUCCAUGCAAUUUGUUUAUCUUACAAUUUAUACAAGAAUAGACAAGUCAGCGGACGCGAGUUUUUUUAAUCAGUGACACCACUUUUUCCCCUAGGGGAGGUGCCAAAAAGGCACUAGCGGCGGGCACUAUGACGUCAUAAAAUGUUUUUAAUCAGUGACACCACUUUUUCCCCUAGGGCCUAGCCAAAAAGGUACUAUGACGUCACACCUCGACACAGGUGUAAUUAGCGGUUGACACACCUUAAUUAGCGACACCACCCCUAGGUACCCCAGAGGACCCCCUACACCUGUCACUAAUUACGGGUGUACACCUUAAUGGUGACACUUUCCACUUCUUCGGCGUGACCUUCACUUCUUUUACAGGACCCCUUACGAAGAACUAGCUUUGGUACACUGCUGAUGGAACAUGCCAUCGGUG